UCCAGCGGCUAUAUCGCCCUGCAGCUCACAGCAUGCAGCCCACUGAAGCUCAGCAGGUGUGAGCCUGGUCAGUAUCUGGACGGGAGACCUCCUGGGAAACACUAAGGUUGCUGCUGGAA
rnacentral:rRNA from 1 species